AACGAACGCUGGCGGCAGGCUUAACACAUGCAAGUCGAGCGCCCCGCAGGGGGAGCGGCAGACGGGUGAGUAACACGUGGGAACGUACCUUUGCUACGGAAUAGCUCCGGGAAACUGGAAUUAAUACCGUAUGUGCCCUUCGGGGGAAAGAUUUAUCGGCAAAAGAUCGGCCCGCGUCUGAUUAGCUAGUUGGUGGGGUAAUGGCCUACCAAGGCGACCAUUAGUCGCUGGUCUGAGAGGAUGAUCAGCCACCCUGGCACUGAGACACGGCCCCGAAUCCUACGGGAGGCAGCAGGGGGGAAUAUUGGACAAUGGGCGCAAGCCUGAUCCAGCCAUGCCGCGUGAGUGAUGAAGUCAUUAGGGUUGUAAAGCUCUUUCGCUAGUGAAGAUAAUGACGGUACCUAGAGAAGAAUCCCCGGCUAACUUCGUGCCAGCCGCCGCCGUAACAC
rnacentral:rRNA from 1 species